UACGUAGGGGGCUAGCGUUGUCCGGAAUCAUUGGGCGUAAAGCGCGUGUAGGCGGUCCGGUAAGUCCGCUGUGAAAGUCGAGGGCUCAACCCUCGAAUGCCGGUGGAUACUGUCGGGCUUGAGUACGGGAGAGGCGAGUGGAAUUCCUGGUGUAGCGGUGAAAUGCGCAGAUAUCAGGAGGAACACCGAUUGCGAAGGCGGCUUUCUGGACAGAUACCGACGCUGAGGCGCGAAAGCUAGGGGAGCAAACGGG
rnacentral:rRNA from 1 species